rnacentral:rRNA from 1 species
AACGCGUGGGGACCUACCUCUUAGUGGGGGAUAACGGUUGGAAACGACCGCUAAUACCGCAUACGCCCUUCGGGGGAAAGAUUUAUCGCUAAGAGAUGGACCCGCGUUGGAUUAGAUAGUUGGUGAGGUAACGGCUCACCAAGUCAGCGAUCCAUAGCUGGUUUGAGAGGAUGAUCAGCCACACUGGGACUGAGACACGGCCCAGACUCCUACGGGAGGCAGCAGUGGGGAAUAUUGGACAAUGGGGGCAACCCUGAUCCAGCCAUGCCGCGUGAGUGAAGAAGGCCUUCGGGUUGUAAAGCUCUUUCAGAUGCGAAGAUGAUGACGGUAACAUCAGAAGAAGCCCCGGCUAAUUUCGUGCCAGCAGCCGCGGUAAUACGAAAGGGGCUAGCGUUGCUCGGAUUUACUGGGCGUAAAGGGCACGCAGGCGGUCUUGCCAGUCAGGGGUGAAAGCCCGAGGCUCAACCUCGGAACUGCCUCUGAUACUGUAAGACUUGAGACUAGGAGAGGGUGGUGGAAUUCCCAGUGUAGAGGUGAAAUUCGUAGAUAUUGGGAGGAACACCAGAG